UUCUGUAAAUAAACUCCAUCCUUCAACUGGCAAAACAAUACGUGUCUCUCUGAAUCUACAUCCUUCUAUGCCCUAGAUCCAUUUCUCUCUUUCUUUUUUUUUUUUCUCCUUUUCUUUCUCAAUCUCUCCACAAGCCCUAGAUCAUUUCUUGUAUUUAUCUCUUCUGGGUUUUAAAGUUUCAAUCUUUGUGUUCAUUUUACUCCUUUUUUUUUCUGUUUUUUUGUCCCCGGGUGCAUGCCUUUUUGUUAAAAGGAGCUAACCGUUUUCAAGGUAAGUGGUUUCUGUUGAAAUGUUCAGUUUCUUAAUACUUGUACGGGUAUUUUUUGUGGUUUGGGGUUGUGGGUACUUGGGGUUUUGUUAAGUGAUGAGUCAAAUGGUUUUUGUGUGUGAUUUGAUGGAGUGGAAAUUUGACUGCACAAAGAACUUUCAUUUUCAGGUUGUUGUCAAAUUAUGCUUAAUUCUGGUGGUUUUUGGAGUAUUGAGUG
rnacentral:lncRNA from 1 species